rnacentral:rRNA from 1 species
AAUCUUGCGAAAUGGGCGAAAGCCUGACGCAGCCAUGCCGCGUGAAUGAUGAAGGUCUAAGGAUAGAACAAUUCUUUCACCGGGACCGAUAACGACGGUACCCGGAGAUGCAGCUCCGGCUAACUUCGUGCCAGCAGCCGAGGUAAUACGAAGGGGGCUAGCGUUGCUCGGAAUUACUGGGCGUAAGGGACGCGUAGGCGGACAUUUAAGUCAGGGGUGAAGUCCCAGAGCUCAACUCUGGAACUGCCUUUGAUACUGGGUGUCUUGAGUGUGAGAGAGGUAUGUGGAACUCCGAGUGUAGAGGUGAAAUUCAUAGAUAUUCGGAAGAACACCAGUGGCGAAGGCGACAUACUGGCACAUUACUGACGCUGAAGCGCGAAAGCGUGGGGGGCAAACAG